GCCUCCUUAGCUCAGUGGUUAGAGCACUGGUCUUGUAAACCAGGGGGGUCAUGAGUUCGAAUCUCAUAGGGGGCU